GGAGGCAUAGCUCAGCCGGGAGAGCGUUCGCCUCACACGCGAAAGGUCACAGGUUCGAGCCCUGUUGUCUCCACCA
rnacentral:tRNA from 1 species